rnacentral:rRNA from 1 species
UACGUAGGGCGCAAGCGUUGUCCGGAAUUAUUGGGCGUAAAGAGCUCGUAGGCGGUUUGUCGCGCCUGCUGUGAAAACCUAAGGCUCAACCUUGGGCUUGCAGUGGGUACGGGCAGACUAGAGUGCGGUAGGGGUGACUGGAAUUCCCGGUGUAGCGGUGAAAUGCGCAGAUAUCAGGAGGAACACCGGUGGCGAAGGCGGGUCUCUGGGCCGAUACUGACGCUGAGGAGCGAAAGCGUGGGGAGCAAACAGG